GCAAGAGUAAACUCAAGGAAUGACGGGGGCCCGCACAAGCGUUGAGCAUGUGGUUAAUUCGAUGCAACGCGAAGAACCUUACCAGGGUUGACAUCCUGCGAACCCCUGAGAAAUCGGGGGGUGCCUUCGGGAGCGCAGAGACAGGUGGUGCAUGGCUGUCGUCAGCUCGUGUCGUGAGAUGUUGGGUUAAGUCCCGCAACGAGCGCAACCCACGUCGUUAGUUGCCAGCAUUCAGUUGGGCACUCUAGCGAGACCGCCGGUGAUAAACCGGAGGAAGGUGUGGAUGACGUCAAGUCAUCAUGCCCCUUACAUCCUGGGCUACACACGUACUACAAUGCUACGGACAAAGGGCAGCAAGCUCGCGAGAGUAAGCAAAUCCCAUAAACCGUGGCUCAGUUCAGAUCGUAGGCUGCAACUCGCCUACGUGAAGGAGGAAUCGCUAGUAAUCGCAGGUCAGCAUACUGCGGUGAAUACGUUCCCGGGCCUUGUACACACCGCCCGUCACACCAUGGAAGUUGGCCAUGCCCGAAGUCGUUACUCCAACCCUUGUGGAGGAGGACGCCGAAGGUGGGGCUGAUGACUGGGGUGAAGUCGUAACAAGGU
rnacentral:rRNA from 1 species